AUUGAACGCUGGCGGCAUGCUUUACACAUGCAAGUCGAACGGUAACAGGCCGCAAGGUGCUGACGAGUGGCGAACGGGUGAGUAAUGCAUCGGAACGUGCCCAGUCGUGGGGGAUAACGCAGCGAAAGCUGUGCUAAUACCGCAUACGAUCUAUGGAUGAAAGCGGGGGACCGUAAGGCCUCGCGCGAUUGGAGCGGCCGAUGUCAGAUUAGCUAGUUGGUGGGGUAAAGGCCCACCAAGGCGACGAUCUGUAGCUGGUCUGAGAGGACGACCAGCCACACUGGGACUGAGAAACGGCCCAGACUCCUACGGGAGGCAGCAGUGGGGAAUUUUGGACAAUGGGCGAAAGCCUGAUCCAGCCAUUCCGCGUGCAGGAUGAAGGCCCUCGGGUUGUAAACUGCUUUUGUACAGAACGAAAAGGUCUCUAUUAAUACUAGGGGCUCAUGACGGUACUGUAAGAAUAAGCACCGGCUAACUACGUGCCAGCCGCCGCGGUAA
rnacentral:rRNA from 1 species